rnacentral:rRNA from 1 species
CCUACGGGAGGCAGCAGUGAGGAAUAUUGGUCAAUGGGCGUAAGCCUGAACCAGCCAAGUCGCGUGAGGGAUGAAGGAUCUAUGGUUCGUAAACCUCUUUUAUAAGGGAAUAAAAUGAGGGACGUGUCCUGUUUUGUAUGUACCAUAUGAAUAAGGAUCGGCUAACUCCGUGCCAGCAGCCGCGGUAAUACGGAGGAUACGAGCGUUAUCCGGAUUUAUUGGGUUUAAAGGGUGCGUAGGCGGCUUGUUAAGUCAGAGGUGAAAGUCUGCGGCUCAACCCUAGAAUUGCCGUUGAAACUGGGCGGCUUGAGUACAGUAGAGGAAGGCGGAAUGCGUGGUGUAGCGGUGAAAUGCAUAGAUAUCAGGAAGAACACCGAUUGCGAAGGCAGCUUGCUGGAC